GAUGAACGCUAGCGACAGGCCUAACACAUGCAAGUCGAGGGGCAGCACAAAGUAGCAAUACUUGGUGGCGACCGGCGCACGGGUGAGUAACACGUAUGCAACCUACCUGUAAGCGGGGAAUAACCCGGAGAAAUUCGGACUAACACCGCAUAAUACUGAAUUACUGCAUGGUUUUUCAGUUAAAUAUUUAUAGCUUACAGAUGGGCAUGCGUAUGAUUAGAUAGUUGGUAGGGUAACGGCCUACCAAGUCAACGAUCAUUAGGGGUUCUGAGAGGAAGGUCCCCCAACUGGUACUGAGACACGGACCAGACUCCUACGGGAGGCAGCAGUGAGGAAUAUUGGUCAAUGGGCGAGAGCCUGAACCAGCCAAGUCGCGUGAAGGAAGAAGGUUCUAUGGAUUGUAAACUUCUUUUGUAAGGGAAUAAAAAGAGUACGUGUACUCUAUUGUAUGUACUUUACGAAUAAGGAUCGGCUAACUCCGUG
rnacentral:rRNA from 1 species